rnacentral:rRNA from 1 species
CCUACGGGUGGCAGCAGUGAGGAAUAUUGGUCAAUGGUCGUGAGACUGAACCAGCCAAGUCGCGUGAAGGAGGAAGGUUCUAAGGUUUGUAAACUUCUUUUAUCGGGGAAUAAAGACAGGCACGUGUGCAUGUUUGCAUGUACCUUAUGAAUAAGCAUCGGCUAACUCCGUGCCAGCAGCCGCGGUAAUACGGAGGAUGCGAGCGUUAUCCGGAUUUAUUGGGUUUAAAGGGUGCGUAGGUGGUUUGUUAAGUCAGCGGUGAAAGUUUGUGGCUCAACCCUAAGAUUGCCGUUGAAACUGGCAGUCUCGAGUUGGAGUGAGGUAUGCGGAAUGCGUGGUGUAGCGGUGAAAUGCAUAGAUAUCGCGCAGAACUCCGAUUGCGAAGGCAGCAUACUAACUCGACACUGACGCUGAGGCACGAAAGCGUGGGUAUCAAACAGGAUUAGAUACCCGGGUAGUC